AUGAAGCCGGUUUGCAGCAUUGGCAAUGAUCAGCUAAAUGUGGUGGUGAAUCUUAUCGACCACAGUAACUGGUCGUGGAAGGCUGAUGUGGUUCGAGGUAAUUUCAUACCCCCAGAUGCGGAUGCCAUUCUCAACAUUCCGUUGAGGCAAGGAGGGGGUGAUGAUUCGUUGGCUUGGGCUUUUGAAAAAUCGGGUUGCUACACUGUAAGAUCAUCGUAUCGUGCCUUAAUGACUCGGAACAAGCAGACUGCUCUAGAGGAGGGGACGAUUACCGAAUCUUCAUUGACAGACAAACAACUGUGGUCUCGAUUGUGGAAGCUCAAAGUUAUCCCAAGAGUCAGAGUCUUC
rnacentral:rRNA from 1 species